UACAGAGGGAGCAAGCGUUGUUCGGAAUUACUGGGCGUAAAGGGCGCGUAGGCGGCCGCCUAAGUCAGACGUGAAAUCCCUCGGCUCAACCGGGGAACUGCGUCUGAUACUGGGUGGCUUGAAUCCGGGAGAGGGAUGCGGAAUUCCAGGUGUAGCGGUGAAAUGCGUAGAUAUCUGGAGGAACACCGGUGGCGAAGGCGGCAUCCUGGACCGGUAUUGACGCUGAGGCGCGAAAGCCAGGGGAGCAAACGGG
rnacentral:rRNA from 1 species